UGGGCUAGGGGUUCGGGCGUGCUAUGGGCCGAAAAUCAAUCGAGGCAUGCCAGGGAGGUUACGGAUCAUCGCACUAUGGUCUGUUUUAAUAUUCUAGGCCAUUUAGUUGGUCAAAUAAGAUAAACGGCAUGAAAGGGGCAUUUUUGAGGCAAAUCAGUGUGCAAUAGCCCACAGUUCCGGGGGUGGGCUCGGGCUCCGGGCG
rnacentral:lncRNA from 1 species